AGUGAACGCUGGCGGUAGGCCUAACACAUGCAAGUCGAACGGCAGCACAGUAAGAGCUUGCUCUUACGGGUGGCGAGUGGCGGACGGGUGAGGAAUACAUCGGAAUCUACUUUUUCGUGGGGGAUAACGUAGGGAAACUUACGCUAAUACCGCAUACGACCUACGGGUGAAAGCAGGGGAUCUUCGGACCUUGCGCGAUUGAAUGAGCCGAUGUCGGAUUAGCUAGUUGGCGGGGUAAAGGCCCACCAAGGCGACGAUCCGUAGCUGGUCUGAGAGGAUGGACCCCCCCUCGGAACUGGAACACCCGCCCAGGCACCUAGGGGAGGCACAGUGGGGGAUUUUUGGCAAAAGGGGGAAACCCUGACCCAGCCAACCCCGCGGGGUGAAGAAGCCCUGGGGGUUGGAAGACCCUUUUGUGGGGAAAAAAAGCCAGCGGGUUAAACCCCCGCUGUUCGGCCGGAACCCAAAAAAAAGCCCCCGCUAACUUCGGG
rnacentral:rRNA from 1 species